AGCCUGAUCCAGCAAUGCCGCGUGUGUGAAGAAGGUCUUCGGAUUGUAAAGCACUUUCGACGGGGACGAUGAUGACGGUACCCGUAGAAGAAGCCCCGGCUAACUUCGUGCCAGCAGCCGCGGUAAUACGAAGGGGGCUAGCGUUGCUCGGAAUGACUGGGCGUAAAGGGCGCGUAGGCGGUUUGGACAGUCAGAUGUGAAAUCCCCGGGCUUAACCUGGGAACUGCAUUUGAUACGUCCAGACUAGAGUUCGAGAGAGGGUUGUGGAAUUCCCAGUGUAGAGGUGAAAUUCGUAGAUAUUGGGAAGAACACCGGUGGCGAAGGCGGCAACCUGGCUCGAUACUGACGCUGAGGCGCGAAAGCGUGGGGAGCAAACAGGAUUAGAUACCCUGGUAGUCCACGCUGUAAACGAUGUGUGCUGGAUGUUGGGUAACUUAGUUACUCAGUGUCGAAGCUAACGCGCUAAGCACACCGCCUGGGGAGUACGGCCGCAAGGUUGAAACUCAAAG
rnacentral:rRNA from 1 species